rnacentral:piRNA from 1 species
UACCAAACAGUGAUGGAUAACAGGUCGGAGU